rnacentral:lncRNA from 1 species
UACAAUUUGCUAUAAGCUUCAUGUCUCAAACUGUAUAAAUAAAUUAUUUCAAGCUUCAUGGAAACAAGAGGACUCGUUGCAUACCCGUAGUGGAUUUAGUAAUAUGGAAGUCAAAGAAAUCAAAUUGAUGCAAGAUAUGGAGACUGAAACAAAUGAUCACUUAGAAAGAAACGUCGGGCCUAAUGGCAUCACUCUCUUUUUGGGAUGAUGAUAAAUUCUUAAAAUUUUCGGAUUUAGAGGAAAUUAAGAAUAUUACUGUUUACUGUAUUGGGAAUACUUCUCGUUCAAUCUUAUUGGAAAAAAAAAAUUGAAUUGCAACAAUCUUUUAUGAUAAUAUAAGUUUGUUGAGCUCCAUGACGAAUUACGGAUCCGACAAUGAUCCACAUGGCAAAAGACAAAUAAAUAAUUGGCAUCGGAAAUCUUUAAAGUAUUUAAUUUUUUUUAUUAAAAUAUAUGAUGAAUAAAUAUAUAGACAUUUCAUUAUA